AACGAACGCUGGCGGCAUGCCUAACACAUGCAAGUCGAACGAGACCUUCGGGUCUAGUGGCGCACGGGUGCGUAACGCGUGGGAACCUGCCCUUAGGUUCGGAAUAACUCCCCGAAAGGGGUGCUAAUACCGGAUAAUGUCUUCGGACCAAAGAUUUAUCGCCUUUGGAUGGGCCCGCGUUGGAUUAGCUAGUUGGUAGGGUAAAAGCCUACCAAGGCGACGAUCCAUAGCUGGUCUGAGAGGAUGAUCAGCCACACUGGGACUGAGACACGGCCCAGACUCCUACGGAAGGCAGCAGUGGGGAAUAUUGGACGAUGGGCGAAAGCCUGAUCCAGCAAUGCCGCGUGAGUGAUGAAGGCCUUAGGGUUGUAAAGCUCUUUUACCCGGGAUGAUAAUGACGGUACCGGGAGAAUAAGCUCCGGCUAACUCCGUG
rnacentral:rRNA from 1 species